rnacentral:rRNA from 1 species
AUUGAACGCUGGCGGCAUGCCUUACACAUGCAAGUCGAACGGCAGCACGGGAGCAAUCCUGGUGGCGAGUGGCGAACGGGUGAGUAAAGUAUCGGAACGUGCCCAGUCGUGGGGGAUAACGUAGCGAAAGUUACGCUAAUACCGCAUACGAUCUAUGGAUGAAAGCGGGGGAUCGCAAGACCUCGCGCGAUUGGAGCGGCCGAUAUCAGAUUAGGUAGUUGGUGGGGUAAAGGCUCACCAAGCCGACGAUCUGUAGCUGGUCUGAGAGGACGACCAGCCGCACUGGGACUGAGAAACGGCCCAGACUCCUACGGGAGGCAGCAGUGGGGAAUUUUGGACAAUGGGCGAAAGCCUGAUCCAGCCAUGCCGCGUGCAGGAUGAAGGCCUUCGGGUUGUAAACUGCUUUUGUACGGAACGAAAAGGUUUGGCCUAAUAAGCUGAGCUCAUGACGGUACCGUAAGAAUAAGCACCGGCUAACUACGUGCCAGCAGCCGCGGUAA